CACAAGGGGUGAAGCCUGCGGUUCAAUUGGAGUCAACGCCAGAAAUCUUACCCGGAGAGACAGCAGAAUGAAGGUCAAGCUGAAGACUUUACCAGACAAGCUGAGAGGUGGUGCAUGGCCGUCGCCAGCUCGUGCCGUGAGAUGUCCUGUUAAGUCAGGUAACGAGCGAGAUCCCUGCCUCUAGUUGCCACCAUUACUCUCAGGAGUAGUGGGGCGAAUUAGCGGGACCGCCGCAGUUAAUGCGGAGGAAGGAAGGGGCCACGGCAGGUCAGUAUGCCCCGAAACUCUGGGGCCACACGCGGGCUGCAAUGGUAACGACAAUUGGUUUCGAAUCCGAAAGGAUGAGGUAAUCCUCAAACGUUACCACAGUUAUGACUGAGGGCUGCAACUCGCCCUCACGAAUAUGGAAUCCCUAGUAACUGCGUGUCAUUAUCGCGCGGUGAAUACGUCCCUGCUCCUUGCACACACCGCCCGUCGUUUCAUUGAAGUGAGCUCUUAGCGAGGUGACGUCUAAUUGGCGUUAUCGAACUUGAGGUUCGUGACAAGGGAAAAGUCGUAACAAGGUGACCGUAGGGGAACCUGCGGUCGGAUCACCUCCUU
rnacentral:rRNA from 1 species